CCUACGGGAGGCAGCAGUAGGGAAUUUUCGUCAAUGGUGGGAACCCUGACCGAGCAACGCCGCGUGAGGGAGGAAGUAUUUCGGUAUGUAAAACUCUGUUAUAAAGGAAGCACGGUCCAUGUAGGGAAUGACAUGCAAGUGACGGUACUUUAUAAGGAAGCCAAGGCUAACUACGUGCCAGCAGCCGCGGUAAUACGUAGGUGGCGAGCGUUAGCCGGAAUUAUUGGGCGUAAAGAGGGAGAAGGCGGCAGCUAAGGUCUGCGGUGAAAGCCCGAAGCUAAACUUCGGUAAGCCGUGGAAACCGGGCAGCUAGAGUGCAGUAGAGGAUCGUGGAAUUCCAUGUGUAGCGGUGAAAUGCGUAGAUAUAUGGAGGAACACCAGUGGCGAAGGCGGCCUGCCAAGCCAUGACUGACGCUGAUGCACGAAAGCGUGGGUAUCAAACAGGAUUAGAUACCCUAGUAGUC
rnacentral:rRNA from 1 species